rnacentral:miRNA from 1 species
UCUCUUUUCUCCAUUUACACUCCAUUUUUUGUUAUAGUAAAAACUAUUAAAAAAAAAAAAUGGAGUGUAAGUGAACAAAAGGAGA